GUGAUUCUAAAUAUUUAGAAAUUACUAUCAAUUAAAACCAAUCUUAAAAGCCACUAUCAAAAGGAAAUUAAAAUUAUACAAAUUCUAUAGUAAUCUUUUUAAACAACCUCUUCUCAAGGUAAUAAUCAAAUUAUAUUCUAUAACUAAUUAAAAUCUACUAAUAUGGCUCUCACCAUAUUACUUAAUAAAUUAUAUAUUAAGUAC
rnacentral:lncRNA from 1 species